rnacentral:rRNA from 1 species
GACGAACGCUGGCGGCGUGCUUAACACAUGCAAGUCGAACGGAGAAGCCCGCUUGUGGGGGGAUCAGCGAGGAACGGGCGAGUAAGUAACGGGUAAGUAGCCCUCAGUUCUGGGAUAAAUAAAUGAAAUAGAGUGUAGCAAAGGCCAGGUAGGAUGUCCGCAUGGAUGGGUGGGGGAAGAAUUUGUCGGCGGGGGAUGGGCGCGCGGCCUAUCAGCUUGUUGGUGGGGUAGUGGCGUACCAAGGCGGCGACGGGUAGCCGGCCUGAGAGGGUGACCGGCCACAUUGGGACUGAGACACGGCCCAGACUCCUACGGGAGGCAGCAGUGGGGAAUAUUGCACAAUGGGCGGAAGCCUGAUGCAGCAACGCCGCGUGCGGGAUGACGGCCUUCGGGUUGUAAACCGCUUUCGGCUGUGACGAAGCGUGAGUGACGGUACCGGCUGAAGAAGCACCGGCUAACUACGUG